GCCACCUACCGGCGCUUUCUGUGAAAUACGGCGCAUUUUAAAAAAAGAUGGCUCCUUUUUUCGGAUGUUGUCGAGAUUGGUAAUUCAGACAAACUUAUCCGUUUAGCUGUUAUUUUAUUAUCUGGCGAUUGCAUGGUAAUAUUCAUUCAGGAUGAUUUUAGAUACCGAUGUCCGAUAAUAGACUCAUCCAUAAAUCAGUUGAUUUAUCAAAAGCAGUCAAGAAUGGAAGAGGAAACAGAGCAUUUAGCUGCAAUGUUAUCUAUUGUAGAUGAACAGUCACACAAAUUAACAGAAUUUUUAAACUCUGAAGAUUUGAAACCAGAUCUAUCAACAAUAUUUUCAUCUUCUCAAGAUAUAAAAACAGAAUUUACAACAUUUUCAUCUAUUGUUGAUGCAAAACCCAACAUGACAUUCACAGCUUCUCAAGAUGUUAAACCCUAUACUACACCAGAAUUUUCAUGUUCUAAAGACACAGAAACAGAAUUUUCAAGUUUUUCAUCUUUUGAUAAAUUUACACCCAACAAAUCAUUUAUAAGCUUGCAAGAUGUUAAACCUGAUGUUACAUCUGAGUUUUUAAUUUGUAAAGAUAAAAAGCCUUCUGUAUCAACAUUAUCAACAUCUGAAGAUAACAAAUCAGAAGUCACAACUUUAUCAACUUGUGAAGAUUCAAAACCAGAUUUAUUGACAGGAUUUUUAUUUUUUGAGGAUAAAAAACAAAAAAGGCUUGAACUUCAAGUUGAAGAAAAUCUCCAGUUUUCUAGAGACAAAAGAUAUCAGAUUGUUUCUAGUCACAAACACAAAAGGUUUUCUCAAAGUUCUAACUCAAGUAAACAUAAAACAGCUCAAGAAGGAAAUAAGCAAGUUGAAUAUGAUGGUGACCAUGAGAAUCUUUCUCAAAGUUGUAAUUUCAGUAAAAAUAAAAAAGAGCACUCAAGAGAUAAGCAAUACAUAAGUAGUGUUUGUAAUAAAAGGUUCUCUUAUCAAUGUAACUUAUAUACACAUUUGAAAAUGCAUUUAGAAGAUAAGCCACAUGAAUGUGAUGUUGUUCAUAUAAAGUUUGGUCAGAAGAGAAAUUUAUUACAACACAAAAAUGUUUAUUCAGGAGAUAAGCCAUAUAAAUGUGAUGUUUGUCAUAAAAGGUUUACUCAAAGUUCUGGCUUAAGUAAACACAACAGAAUUCAUUCAGGAGAUAAGUCGUAUGAAUGUGAUGUUUGUCAUAAGAAGUUUUCUCAAAAUUCUUAUUUAAAAACACAUAAACAGGUUCAUUCAGGAGAAAGACCACAUGAAUGUGAUGUUUGUCAUAAGAAGUUUUCUCAAAAUUCUAGUUUAAAAACACAUAAACAGGUUCAUUCAGGAGAAAGACCACAUGAAUGUGAUGUAUGUCAUAAAAAGUUUUCUCAAAGUUCUAAUUUAAGUACACAUAAAAAGGUUCAUUCAGAAUAUAAGCCAAUUGAAUGUGAUGUUUGUCAUAAAAAGUUUUCUCAAAAAUAUAGUUUAAAAAAACAUAAAAAAGUUCAUUCAGGAGAAAGGCCACAUGAAUGUGAUGUUUGUCAGAAAAGGUUUUCUCAAAGUUCUAAUUUAAUAGCACAUAAAAAGGUUCAUUCAGGAGAUAAACCCUAUGAAUGUGAUGUUUGUCAUAAAAGGUUUGCUCAAAAUUCUAGUUUAAAAACACAUAAACAGGUUCAUUCAGGAGAAAGACCACAUGAAUGUGAUGUAUGUCAUAAAAAGUUUUCUCAAAGUUCUAAUUUAAGUACACAUAAAAAGGUUCAUUCAGAAUAUAAGCCAAUUGAAUGUGAUGUUUGUCAUAAAAAGUUUUCUCAAAAAUAUAGUUUAAAAAAACAUAAAAAAGUUCAUUCAGGAGAAAGGCCACAUGAAUGUGAUGUUUGUCAGAAAAGGUUUUCUCAAAGUUCUAAUUUAAUAGCACAUAAAAAGGUUCAUUCAGGAGAUAAACCCUAUGAAUGUGAUGUUUGUCAUAAAAGGUUUGCUCAAAAUUCUAAUUUAAGAAAACAUAAAAAGGUUCAUUCAGGAGAUAAGCCACAGGAAUGUAAUGUUUGACAUCCAAGGGUUUUUCAAAUUUCUUGUUUAUCUCCACACAAAAAAAAUUCGUUAAAGAGAGAAGCCACAUGAAUGAUAUUUGUCACAAAAAGUUGACUGAGAAGAAUAAUUGUUAUGGCAUAUAAGUGUUUUUACAAGUUAUAAGCCAUAUGUCUGUAUGAAAGAUUUUCUCAAAGUUCUUAUUUAAGUGCACUUGAAAAAGUCAUUCAAGAGACAAGCCACAUUAAUCUGGUAUUUGUCAUAAAAGAUUUUCCCAAAGUUCAUUCAGGAGAUAAGCCACAUGAAUGUGAUGUUUGUCACAAAAGAUUUUGUCAAUUAUCUAAUUUAAAUACUCAUUAAAAAUCAUUCUAGAGGUAAGCCAGGAAAUUCAUCAUGACUAAAAACCAAUUUAAUGUCAUUUUUAACAUCAAUAAUUAAUUCUUAAGCAAAUUAUUAUUGAAUAUCUUGUUAUAAUUUUUUCUCUUCACAUAACUUUAACUAAGUGGUCAUCCAUAGUUUAUUAAUUUUAAUAUUUGUAUUAUGAAAAGGUUGUUUUGUCAAAGAGUAUACCAUGUCAAUUUUUACACAUAGUCUAAAAAGAAAUUGUAUUCUGACUGUAAAAGGAAAUAGCAUUCUAAUAUGUCAGCUGCAUGUGUACAUUUUUACUUUCUCGUAUAUGCGAAAUAUAGAGAAAGUCUUGUAAUUGGGCAAAAAUAAAUAAAACUAGAUUCGUGCAAAUCUGGACGUUUUACACCUCACUGAUACGGAAAAACAUAAUUUUGCAAUCUUGUCUGUGUGUAUGUGUGUCUGUAAACAUGUUUACUUGAAUACCGUUACAGGUAUGUUGUUGUUUUUUUAUAUAAGAACUACUAUGAACUAGCGUACUGGAUCGUCUUAUAAUAGAUGCAUCAUUCGCAAAGUGACGAAACUCUACAGUAGGGUCUUCAUAUUCAAAAAGUUAUUUUUUCAUCUUUGGCAAGGUGACAAAACUGUACAGAAGGAUUUCCUCGCGUUGCAAAGUUAUUUUUAGAAGCCUGUUGUUGUUUUACCGCUGAAUAUAGUAGUACCCCUUACUCGCUAUGCAGGAUCCUUGAUUAACGGAUGCCAAGUGCCAACAUAGUCACUCUAAAACUCUGGGCGCCAAACCGUGUAUUGACGAAAGUUGUACCCUAUAUGGCGCCGCCCAAAAGAAACUUUAGUUUUCUUUUUCGCAGAAAUAUUCUCGGGAGUAUUCUCAUCUACUUCCUAAAGUUUCAUGGCACUCGGAUGAACCACAUCCAAGUUUUAUUUUUAUAUACCGUGUAUAGACAAAAAAAACCGCUCCCCCUGGGGGCGCCGCCCUUGCAAUAUUAAAACAUAUUUUUUUGCAGAACCCUACCAUUGAGUGAUCUAAUCAUUUUUAUAAACCAUAUAUAGAGAAAAAUCGCAGCCUCCCGUGGCGCCGCCCUUGCGAUAUUAAAAAAGGAUUUUUUUUUUUUUACAGAACCCUGCCCUGAAUUGUUCUAAUCAACUCCCCCAAAGUCUCGUGGCUAUCAGAUAACGGCGUCAAACCAAAAUCGACUUUUAUUUUUAUAUACCGUAUAUACAGAAAAAACAAAUUGCGCCCUGCCGGGGCGCCACCCCGGCGAAUUUUUAAAAAAAAUUUCCACAGAAACCUCCCCAGGCAAUGUGAUGAGAGGUUUAGUAAUGCAUAAAGGACAAACAGACAAUCAGACACACAAACAUACAUUGCUUUAUAUAUAUAUAGAUAGAUAGAUAUUCGAUAAAGUUUAGGGGAGAUAACUCCCGGUUUAUUUAGCUUGCAAUGUGUAUAAUAAAAUUCUUAGUAAAGUCUGGAAAAAAAACCCAGACCCACAGGAUUGUAUAGUAAUCCAUUGCACUAUGUAGCCUACCUUUUUUUGUGUUAUUUGUAAAUGUAUUUGAUAGGAGAAAUGAGCUAUGAUUUUAGAAACCCAGGGUUGUUUUUUUUUUAUACUGGCAUGGUUAUGUUCAGGCCACACAUUUAAUUUGCCUAUUCUUUUCAAAUUAUAUAAAAUUGACAUUGCACAUACAUUGGGACAAGGAAGUGAACUAAUUAUGCUCAAACCAAUUACACACAUUAUUAACAAUAACAGAAGCUAACUAAAAUAAAACACAAAGUUCAAUUCAUUUAUUUACAUUUACUAGAUGUUUUUAAUAUAUGUAGGCCCUACUGUUACUUAAUUCUCAUUCUUAACUUUACACAUUUACACUACUAACAAACAGCUCAGUCAGACAUACAGCAACAUGACAGAAUAUCAGGUUGACAGGUAAAACAACCUCCAUUAGACAAGUACAAUGACAUCAGGCCAGCAGUCACAGUGGCAUCUGGCCAACAGGUACAGUGACAUCAAAACUUCUGAGCAAUCUUUUUUUAUUAACACUUUUUCAUCUUUUGCUAAAUGACCGUAAUCAUUAUAUUGAGAGGUAUAGAAUAACCAAACUCUACUGUCUGCAAUGUAUAACUCACACAGACCAUAUGUAAAAACUGACUGCCCCCCAAAAAAUUUUUUUUCCUAAUGUUUGUCCUUGAAAUGUAUUUAUUGUCUUCACUAAUGCAGAUAUUAUUAUAAAUUGAAUUGAGAUUGAAUUUUAAAUGGUAAUUUAGUACCUGGAUAAAUUAAAUUUCUAUUAGGAACCAAGUAUGGAUCCAUUAAAUAUUUUACAAUUAAUAGCAUAAAGAUGUAUAAAUAAGAUGCUCAUUAUUGUUCCAGUGACUAAUGCUUGCUUUGUUCUUAAGCAGCAAUUGUUACAUUUUGGUAUCUUAGUUUCAAGAAAUUGUAACAUGAACAUUUCAUAAAAUAACAUAGCUAAAUUGUUUUUUUAUUGUUAUUGUAUUUCUAUCAAUACUUUCUGUAUGUAAAAAUUCCAAUGAGACCAAUGUGUUUUGAAUGCUAUGUUUUUUUCUCUUGUGAUGCUCCAAAGCCUGUACUGUGCCAGGAAUGUGAAGGUAAAAAAUAAAAAAUGCAAUGCAGCCCUAGAGGGACGCCAAAUUGAAAGUUUGUCCCCGGGUGCCGGGAAGGGUCGCUACGCCUUUAUUACACACGGCAUUUGACCUGCUUGAUAGAAGGAGUAUUUGCGAUGUUUGCUACGCAAUAAUUGCAAAGGUAGAUUGAGAACACAAGAAGGGCCUAGAUCUAAGCGAAAUACUUAAUAAAUGG